CAAGCGGGGGAACAUGGGGUUUUAUUUCACUCUACCCCAGGAACCUUACCUGGGCUCUGAAUGCUUCUGACCUUCUGUAAAAUUACGGGCUUCCCUCAGGGAACAGGAGUAUAGGCCCUGCAGGGUUGUCUCCACCUCGGGCCGUGAGGGGUUGGGUUAAUUCCCGCACCAAGCGCACCCCCUGCCUUUGUUUGCCACUCGCAAGAGGGAACUCUACGUGGACUGCUCCGGAUAACGGAGAGGAAGGUGGGGAUGACGUCAAGUCCGCAUGGCCUUUAUGUCCAGGGCUACACACGUGUUACAAUGCAGGGCACAAACCGUUGCCAACCCGCGAGGGGGAGCUAAUCGGAAAAAACUCUGCUCAGUUCGGAUUGCAGUCUGCAACUCGACUGCAUGAAGCCGGAAUCGCUAGUAAUGGCGUAUAUCAUCGACGCCGUGAAUACAUUCCCCCGGCCUUGUACACACC
rnacentral:rRNA from 1 species